AAGAAAAAUAGACAAGGGGCAUCCAUGCCGGAAUCAUUUAUCUUUCAAAUCUUCAUAGGAUGUACUUUUAACUCUUGGAUCAGAACAGCAUGCCUGGGACUGGUCUUCAUGUAAGAAGCGGAGGGAAUUCCAGAUUGAAUUGAAGGACACCAGACAGGUUGUAGUCAAGAUGUUGGCCAGGACUAAGACAUCGCGAGACUUUGCU
rnacentral:lncRNA from 10 species